UACGAAGGGGGCUAGCGUUGCUCGGAUUGACUGGGCGUAAAGGGCGCGUAGGCGGAUUGUACAGUCAGGCGUGAAAUUCCCGGGCUCAACCUGGGGGCUGCGCUUGAGACGUGCGAUCUUGAGUGGGGAAGAGGGUCGUGGAAUUCCCAGUGUAGAGGUGAAAUUCGUAGAUAUUGGGAAGAACACCGGUGGCGAAGGCGGCGACCUGGUCCUUGACUGACGCUGAGGCGCGAAAGCGUGGGGAGCAAACAGG
rnacentral:rRNA from 1 species